rnacentral:rRNA from 1 species
AGUGAACGCUGGCGGCAGGCCUAACACAUGCAAGUCGAACGGACUCACCGGAAGUGCUUGCGCUCGCGGGUGGCGAGCGGCGGAAGGGUGAGGUAUACAUAGGAUACCUCUUUGACGGUGGUGAUAACGGAGAAAAGGUGCUGCUAAUACAGAAUAUAUCGUACUGAUGUGAGCAGGCGUGUAAUUGGCUUUUUGGUACUGUAACAGCUGAUGUCGGAUCAGCUCAGUGGCUCGGUAAAGGCAUACCAAGGCGACGAUGCGUAGCAGACCCGAAAGGGUGGUCAACCAGACUGGAACUGAGAAACGGUCCAGACUCCUACGGGAGGACGCAGUCGGGAAUCUUCCGCAAGGGACGAAAGCCUAAUCCAGCGAAACCGCGUGGGUGAUGAAGGCCUUCGGAUCGUAAAACCCUGUUGUUAGGAAAAAACAAAAGUGCGUUCAACGCCGACCGUCUUGACGGUACCCAAAGAAAAAGCCCCGGCUAACUUCGUG